UGCAAGUCGAGCGGACUGAUGGGAGCUUGCUCCCAUCAGUCAGCGGCGGACGGGUGAGUAACACGUGGGUAACCUGCCUGUAAGACUGGGAUAACUCCGGGAAACCGGGGCUAAUACCGGAUAACUCAUUUCCUCGCAUGAGGAAAUGUUGAAAGGUGGCUUUUAGCUAUCACUUACAGAUGGACCCGCGGCGCAUUAGCUAGUUGGUGAGGUAACGGCUCACCAAGGCGACGAUGCGUAGCCGACCUGAGAGGGUGAUCGGCCACACUGGGACUGAGACACGGCCCAGACUCCUACGGGAGGCAGCAGUAGGGAAUCUUCCGCAAUGGACGAAAGUCUGACGGAGCAACGCCGCGUGAGUGAUGAAGGUUUUCGGAUCGUAAAACUCUGUUGUUAGGGAAGAACAAGUACCGUUCGAAUAGGGCGGUACCUUGACGGUACCUAACCAGAAAGCCACGGCUAACUACGUGCCAGCAGCCGCGGUAAUACGUAGGUGGCAAGCGUUGUCCGGAAUUAUUGGGCGUAAAGCGCGCGCAGGUGGUUUCUUAAGUCUGAUGUGAAAGCCCACGGCUCAACCGUGGAGGGUCAUUGGAAA
rnacentral:rRNA from 1 species